CUUUCAUUGGAGAGGGGACAUGCUAGGAAGACUGCAUUUUGUCCUGUAGGCGAUGGAAAGUCAUUUAAAGGUUGGGGACUACGGGUGGGAUGGAUGGUGAAAGAAACCAGUUCGAUUUAUGUUGUGAACGACUCACUUUGGAGGCUGUGGAGAAGUUUGAAUAUGAGGAUGGGGUUGGGGCGGGGGCAGGGGGAGUGUUGCUAAGCUGGAGGCGUGAUCUUGAAACAGCAGAUGACGGAACCUGAACCAGGGCUGUGGAGAAACGGGAAUGACUGAUCAGACAUUGAGGACGGAGAUGGAAAUCAUCCUGAAACCGCAGUUCAACGCUCCCUCCUUACCCAUCCCCUCCACCACCCACGGACGGACUCCACGUGAACUGUGCUCAGUAGGAAAGAGAACCCAGUGUCCCUCUCUUCACGGAUGCUGUGACUUUACCUUAAGCCAUUUGUCGACACACUUGGCAUGGAACUCGUGGUUACAGGGUAAAACUCUAAGUAGCUGCCUUGACUCAAAAUCACACAUGCAUACUACACACCUAGA